rnacentral:rRNA from 1 species
GUGAGGAAUUUUCCGCAAUGGGCGAAAGCCUGACGGAGCAAUGCCGCGUGAAGGAUGAAGGCCUAUGGGUUGUAAACUUCUUUUCUCAGAAAAGAAUUAUGACGGUAUCUGAGGAAUAAGCAUCGGCUAACUCUGUGCCAGCAGCCGCGGUAAGACAGAGGAUGCAAGCGUUAUCCGGAAUGAUUGGGCGUAAAGCGUCUGUAGGUUGUUUAAAAAGUAUUCUGUCAAAGAUUAGGGCUUAACCCUAGAUAGGCAGAAUAAACUUUUAAGCUAGAGUUUGGUAGAGGCAGAGGAAAUUCCCGGUGGAGCGGUGAAAUGCGUAGAUAUCGGGAGGAACACCAAAGGCGAAGGCACUCUGCUGGGCCAAUACUAACACUGAGAGACGAAAGCGAGGGGAGCAAAUGGGAUUAGAAACCCUUGUAGUCC